GACGGGGGGGGCAAGCGUUGUUCGGAAUUACUGGGCGUAAAGGGCUCGUAGGCGGCCAACUAAGUCGGACGUGAAAUCCCCAGGCUCAACCUGGGAACUGCGUCCGAUACUGGAUGGCUUGAAUCCGGGAGAGGGAUGCAGAAUUCCAGGUGUAGCGGUGAAAUGCGUAGAUAUCUGGAGGAAUACCGGUGGCGAAGGCGGCAUCCUGGACCGGCAUUGACGCUGAGGAGCGAAAGCCAGGGGAGCAAACAGG
rnacentral:rRNA from 1 species